ACGUAAUUUAAAUUACUUUAUGUUGUACAAAUACAAACAUAUAUUUUUGAAAAAAAUUUAUAACCUUAAUUAAUAUAAAUAUUUUUUUUUGCUUUAAAUAUGUUCAAAAAAAAUUUUCUUCUAUUACUCUUUUUUAUUUUUUUAUCAACUGAACUUACAGUUUUGAAUCGUUGAUGAACAGUUAUUGAUCCACCAAUUUAAUGUUUUUGGUCUGUCCGAGUGUUAUUUGUAACUAAUUGAAAUUUCAGCAACUCUAAUGAUGAUAUCAUCAACAACGCCACCCGUACCAGUAGUUAUCUAAGCUUGUGCUGACUGUGAGUCGAGUCAAUAAAAACCUCGAGUAGUAUAGGAACCAUAAGUGGGUUUUCUAUCUUCGCAAGAGAGUCAUUAUUAGCAUUGACC